rnacentral:rRNA from 1 species
UAGGGAAUCUUCGGCAAUGGACGAAAGUCUGACCGAGCAACGCCGCGUGAGUGAAGAAGGUUUUCGGAUCGUAAAACUCUGUUGUUAGAGAAGAACAAGGACGUUAGUAACUGAACGUCCCCUGACGGUAUCUAACCAGAAAGCCACGGCUAACUACGUGCCAGCAGCCGCGGUAAUACGUAGGUGGCAAGCGUUGUCCGGAUUUAUUGGGCGUAAAGCGAGCGCAGGCGGUUUCUUAAGUCUGAUGUGAAAGCCCCCGGCUCAACCGGGGAGGGUCAUUGGAAACUGGGAGUCUUGGGUGCAGAAGAGGGGGGUGGAAUUCCAUGUGUAGCGGUGAAAUGCGUAGUUAUAUGGAGGAACACCAGUGGCGAAGGCGGCUCUCUGGUCUGUAACUGACGCUGAGGCUCGAAAGCGUGGGGAGCAAACAGG